rnacentral:rRNA from 1 species
GACGAACGCUGGCGGCGUGCCUAACACAUGCAAGUCUACGAGAAAAGGGUAGCAAUAUCCUGAGUAAAGUGGCGCACGGGUGAGUAACACGUAGGCAAUCUGCCCUUAGGACGGGAACAACCCCGGGAAACCGGGGCUAAUACCCGAUAAUGCAGCGGCACCGCAUGGUGACAGUUGUUAAAUGCCCGCAAGGGCGCCUAGAGAUGAGCCUGCGUCCCAUUAGGUAGUUGGUGAGGAACGGCCCACCAAGCCUACGAUGGGUAGCUGAUCUGAGAGGAUGAUCAGCCACACUGGAACUGAGACACGGUCCAGACUCCUACGGGAGGCAGCAGUGAGGAAUAUUGCGCAA